rnacentral:rRNA from 1 species
AGAGUUUGAUCCUGGCUCAGGAUGAACGCUGGCGGCGUGCCUAACACAUGCAAGUCGAACGGACUUACAUUGAAGCCUAGCGAUAUGUAAGUUAGUGGCGGACGGGUGAGUAACGCGUGGGUAACCUGCCUUGUACUGGGGGACAACAGUUGGAAACGACUGCUAAUACCGCAUAAGCGCACAGCUUCGCAUGAAGCGGUGUGAAAAACUCCGGUGGUACAAGAUGGACCCGCGUCUGAUUAGCUGGUUGGUGAGGUAACGGCCCACCAAGGCGACGAUCAGUAGCCGGCCUGAGAGGGUGAACGGCCACAUUGGGACUGAGACACGGCCCAAACUCCUACGGGAGGCAGCAGUGGGGAAUAUUGCACAAUGGGGGAAACCCUGAUGCAGCGACGCCGCGUGAGCGAUGAAGUAUUUCGGUAUGUAAAGCUCUAUCAGCAGGGAAGAAAAUGACGGUACCUGACUAAGAAGCCCCGGCUAACUACGUGCCAGCAGCCGCGGUAAUACGUAGGGGGCAAGCGUUAUCCGGAUUUACUGGGUGUAAAGGGAGCGUAGACGGUGACGCAAGUCUGAAGUGAAAUACCCGGGCUCAACCUGGGAACUGCUUUGGAAACUGUGUUGCUAGAGUGCUGGAGAGGUAAGCGGAAUUCCUAGUGUAGCGGUGAAAUGCGUAGAUAUUAGGAGGAACACCAGUGGCGAAGGCGGCUUACUGGACGGUAACUGACGUUGAGGCUCGAAAGCGUGGGGAGCAAACAGGAUUAGAUACCCUGGUAGUCCACGCCGUAAACGAUGACUACUAGGUGUCGGGCAGCAAAGCUGUUCGGUGCCGCAGCAAACGCAAUAAGUAGUCCACCUGGGGAGUACGUUCGCAAGA